rnacentral:lncRNA from 1 species
UCCAAAGCUCCCAGGUGCUGUUUACCUUGGCCAUGCUGCUAGAGCUGGGCCUAAGGUAUUUUUAUGCUUGUGAUUGGUAUAUGGCAUGAGGGUCAGAUUUAUUUCCCCUCCCAUACUUAAUGAGCCCAAGUUGCAAAACUACUCAGCAGUAGUGAAUAGGCAGGCAAGAUCUCCAGAAAAGAUGCCAGGCCACAGAUCUCUCCAUCUGCCACAACCCUGCGAUAUGGUGAUGAAUUUUCAUGGGGUGGAAAACAACUCUAUGCUAUAUGCUGAGAGGACAGCAAAGAACGAAGCCCCAGACGGAACAGGGUCUCCUGAGGGAUGGACAGCGUCGGUGAAGGAGGAGGCAGUGAGACAAGGAGUUCGGUGUCCAAGUCCAAGUCCAAGUCUAACUUUAUUUUGUGGUUCCUGAGAUUUCAGCUGCCUAUCUGCAUGAUCUGAGAUGCUGAUGCUGAUAAAAGGGCAACUUUCAACCAUAGCUCACAGUUUUAAAUUCUUAUUUUCAUCAAAAGGGUAUUUCCCACUGAUUAGCUAUUAAAUAAAGAUUCAAAAUUAGAA